CAACACAAAAUGCUCAAGAACCCUAAUCUAAUGAGCUCAAAUGACGCAACCCUGCUCCUCUUCUCCAAACACCAUUCGAACCAAAACCCAACCUAGUCCAAGUUCAGGUCAGUGAAGCUCAAAUUCUCAACCACACGUUCCCCAAUUCCUUCUCUUACAGUUAUAACGGUUUCUCACGGAAGAUUCCUCUCCUCUCUCACCGCUCGAAUUGGAUAUAUCUCACAAAUUGGAAGGUUCUGGAGCGAAAUUCCUGGAUGAGUGUGAGGCAUCAGAUUGAGUUCAUUCAAUCUAAGCCCUACAUUCAUCAAGGGAUUCAUUUUCAAAUAGGGCCAGUUCUGAUUUUGAGAGAGAACAGAAAUUUAAAGAAAAGAAGUAGAAAGGCUUCGAUAUUUUCUGCUUUUCUGAUUCCAUUUCUUUUUUUUGAAGAGUUCUUUCAAAGUUUGGAGAAACAUAUGUAUUAUUUUUAUUUUUGAAUCCGGAUGUGACUUCCAAGGAGAUACAAAUUGAAGUUCGAGCUUGGUUUUCUACUGUCGUCUUGUCUAGUUUAUAAUUGUUAUAAAAUAGCUUUGGAAAUUUAGAUUCAAUUAUCCUCUCUUUUAUUCUAUGCGAAUCUGUUUAGUUCGGUGCUUUUGAGCUAUGAGAUUCAGUUUAUAGUGGUCUAUUUUGUGUUAUGAUUGAAUUUCUUGCUGGUGAAUCUCUUUGCAGUGGUGUGAUGUAGUUGAGUAUUUUGAGCCAGUAAAAGCUGGGUUUGAAG
rnacentral:lncRNA from 1 species